rnacentral:rRNA from 1 species
AUUGAACGCUGGCGGCAGGCCUAACACAUGCAAGUCGAACGAGUGGCGGACGGGUGAGUAAUGUCUGGGAAACUGCCUGAUGGAGGGGGAUAACUACUGGAAACGGUAGCUAAUACCGCACACCAUCAGAUGGGCCAAGCGGGGAUUGGCUUGUUGGGGGGGUAACGGCGCACAAAGGCGACGAUCCCUAGCUGGUCUGAGAGGAUGACCAGCCACACUGGAACUGGUACACGGUCCAGACUCCUACGGGAGGCAGCAGUGGGGAAGAUUGGACAAUGGGCGCAAGCCUGAUGCAGCCAUGCCGCGUGUAUGAAGAAGGCCGUCGGGUUGUAAAGUACUUUCAGCGGGGAGGCGUUACCCGCAGAGGAAGCACCGGCUAACUCCGUGCCAGCAGCCGCGGUAAUAC